ACAUUGUGUAUCAGUGUUUAUGGAUACUCUUUAACUUCCAGCCACUUGACAUGCCCCAGAGAAGGCAAGAAUUUUGGCCUGGGUGUAUUUUGGCUGGAUA